GACGAACCGUGCAAACGUUAUUCGGAAUCACUGGGCUUAAAGCGUGCGUAGGCGGCUAAGCAAGUUGGGUGUGAAAUCCCUCGGCUCAACCGAGGAAUUGCGCUCAAAACUACUUAGCUUGAGGGAGUUAGAGGUGAGCGGAACUAAUGGUGGAGCGGUGAAAUGCGUUGAUAUCAUUAGGAACACCGGUGGCGAAAGCGGCUCACUGGGACUCUUCUGACGCUGAGGCACGAAAGCUAGGGUAGCGAACGGG
rnacentral:rRNA from 1 species